rnacentral:rRNA from 1 species
GGAUAACUAUUGGAAACGAUAGCUAAUACCGCAUAAUCUCUUCGGAGCAAAGAGGGGGACCUUCGGGCCACUCGCGUCAGGAUUAGCCCAGGAGGGAUUAGCUUGUUGGAGAGGUAAUGGCUCACCAAGGCAACGAUCCCUAGCUGGUCUGAGGGGAUGAUCAGCCACACUGGAACUGAGACACGGUCCAGACUCCUACGGGGGGCAGCAGUGGGGAAUAUUGCACAAUGGCGGAAACCCUGAUGCAGCCAUGCCGCGUGUAUGAAGAAGGCCUUCGGGUUGUAAAGUACUUUCAGUAGGGAGGAAGGCAGUGACGUUAAUAGCGGCAUUGUUUGACGUUACCUACAGAAGAAGCAUCGGCUAACUCCGUGCCAGCAGCCGCGGUAAUACGGAGGGUGCGAGCGUUAAUCGGAAUUACUGGGCGUAAAGCGCAUGCAGGCGGUCUUUUAAGCAAGAUGUGAAAGCCCGGGGCUCAACCUCGGAAUAGCAUUUUGAACUGGCAGACUAGAGUCUUGUAGAGGCGGGUAGAAUUUCAGGUGUAGCGGUGAAAUGCGUAGAGAUCUGAAGGAAUACCGGUGGCGAAGGCGGCCGCCUGGACAAAGACUGACGCUCAGAUGCGAAAGCGUGGGGAGCAAACAGGAUUAGAUACCCUGGUAGUCCACGCCGUAAACGAUGUCUACUUGGAGGUUGUGGCCUUGAGCCGUGCUUUCGGAGCUAACGCGUUAAGUAGACCGCCUGGGGAGUACGGUCGCAAGAUUAAAGCUCAAAUGAAUUGACGGGGGCCCGCACAAGCGGUGGAGCAUGUGGUUUAAUUCGAUGCAACGCGAACAACCUUACCUACUCUUGACAUCCAGAGAACUUUCCAGAGAUGGAUUGGUGCCUUCGGGAACUCUGAGACAGGUGCUGCAUGGCUGUCGUCAGCUCGUGUUGUGAAAUGUUGCGUUAAGUCCCGCAACGAGCGCAACCCUUAUCCUUGUUUGCCAGCACUUCGGGUGGGAACUCCAGGGUGACUGCCGGUGAUAAACCGGAGGAAGGUGGGGACGACGUCAAGUCAUCAUGGCCCUUACGAGUAGG